GGUCACUAUAGAAGCUUAAAAUGAAGUACCUUUAUCCACUAGAGGGAGCUUGAGAACCUUACUUUGUUUGAUGUAUGAAAGUGUUAACUAUAUGGGUCCACACCCACACAGCAGGAGCCAAAGUGCAAGAAAAAUUAGGAAUACUCCAACCACGACCCCAGAAACCACUCCUGCCAGAAAUCCUAUGUUGCUUGCAACUGUUGUGCAGAGCAAAGACACAAAAAGAGUAAAAACAUUAAUUGUUCACUA